rnacentral:lncRNA from 1 species
AGAACAUCUAAGCUAAGCCUAGAAUUGUAGUCCAGGUGUUUGCUGGCUAUACUAGCCAAUAAAUAAGGUCAUUGUUAGGCAUUCAUAAACUGUGUAUGCAUGUCUUUGCAAGUGUCUUCAUAGUGUAAAGUACCUAAAGUGUUGUAAACUUGACUACAGAAAGGUCUUCUUUGGUUGUAACAUUUGCCACCUGCAUAAGAAUGUCUUCAACACCUGGGAAGUCUCAAAGAGCACAAAAUGCCUUUUAGCAGGAAACUACAUCAAGAUAUGAUUUUCUCUUGCUAAGAGAGAGAUUGAUGUUACUUUAUAGCAGAGUGGAUAUGCAAGAAAAGAAAGCUUUUGCCAUCAAUCUGUAUGAGGUUCCUCCCAGAGUCUUUAACCAUGGCCUGGCAUCUUUACCAGACAGAAAUCUCCUUUUCACUUGGGAUUAUUUUGUUGUUUGACCAGAAGAAUCAGAUCUGGGAACAGCCAUGCAGUGACCGAGGUUGUCCUAGAGUGCUGGGUCCCAUCCUUAAUUUCCUCCUGGUGAAAGCGGUGGUAAACCCCAACUCUAAACCUCCCAUUGCCCUGCACCGUGAGCUGCAGAAGACUACUCUGAAGGUCAAGAGGUAA